rnacentral:misc_RNA from 1 species
CCUCUGGCCCUUGCAGGGGUCACAGCCUCGCCUUUGAAGUCGCGCAGUGCCGUUCCUCCGUUUCUCUCGUACGCAUCAGGCUUGGCAGGUGCACUUCUUUUCCUCUUUCCUUCGCAUCGUUGUGCUUUGGUGUGCUUGCUAUUUCACGGAGCUCGUCUUGCCUUUCACUCGGGUGGGGGGCUCGAACACAACGACAGGCAUACACGACGACACCAGCAAAGAACUCCUCCCUCUCCUCCCCAAAAAGAAGGCCUCCUCUCCGUCUUGGAGAACCCGCGACGCGUGCUUGGGGCGACACUGGUGGCGAAAGGCGCGCUUGCACUCACAUAGCUGCAAACGUGCAGCCGCCUCACAAACGGAAACAUCGUUCCUGUUUUUCGAAUUCUUGCCCCUCAUCUCGGUCUCUCUCCGACUGAUGUAUCGCUGUUGCUCCCCUCUCUAUUUCUUGUUGCUUCUCUCUCGUCUCUCUGCCACCCUCCUCGCACACGCGAACAGAUACUCCGUGGGUGUGCCAGUGGCUCUCUCUCUCUCUACCUGAGUGGGCGUGCGUGUGGCUUUGUGCCCGCGCGCGACAUCAAAGCGAACUCCUCCUCCUCCUCCUCCUCCUCCCUCCUCACAGAAGUGCCCCGCUCGUUGCUGCCUUGGACUUUCCUACUUUAAUCCCUUCCCUCGUGGGCCCUCUCCCGAAGCCACACCCCUUUGUGUUGUCUCUCUCUCUCUCUCCCAUCACUGGCAGCGGCGAAGUGCAGUCGACCUCCUUCCUGCCGCACUCACUCCCGCACCGUCACACCGCUCCACGUUUUCUUUUUGUGUUUUCUUUUUUUCUUCCUACCUUUUUGUUUUCGCUUCACGCUCCGUCUCGCGAUUGUUCACGCUGGCAGAGGAGGCUCCACGUCUUGUCCCCAGCCUCUCACCCACUUCUCUCUUACUGUUUCACUCUUCUUUUUUCUGCGUUGACCUGUGGAGGCGCGGUGCGAGGACUCUAUACAUAUAGAAGGCACGGCCGGCGCGCGAGUACUACGAGACCAUCUAGCGACACCUCCGCUUCUCCACACCCGUUCCCACCCCAGCACCCAGGGCAGCCCACCAUCCUCCCAGGAAGAACGCAGGGUGACGAGACUGGUGCUUCCUACCUGCUUCGCUCGUUUCAAAGGCGAGGCACAGGCUCAAUCGACAAAGAGCCCUUGCGUAAACAGGUGCUUUCAUCGACUUGUUCUUCUUUGAAGCGCCCCGCUCCACAAGCACAGAAAGGCUUAUUCACACAGACGCACACACUCACACACACAGAUACGUGCAGUUGGGCAUGUCCUACUUGUCACCCGCCCCCUUCUACACUUCUUGCUCUCUCUCUCUUUGCUUGUGCACACCGUCGUAGGUGUCCCCGCACGGCAAUCUUCAGCAUCUGGCGGCAGUAGAGCCGACCGCAAGGGGAAGGAAGCAGCUCCUCAUCAUCCCCCCCCCCCCCCCCCCCCCCCACGCGUGAGAGGUACAUUUGGAGGUACAAGCGAGCUCAUCGUCGAUCAGCGAGUACGCAUGUAUCACUACUUGGUGAAUGCGCUCAAAGGAAAAAGCGGCAAGGCGGACGGGCUCGUCGCUCGCAGCGAUCCAGCUAUUACGGACUCCAAAGCGGGACGCAAUGCACGUCUCAGAGAGGAAGAGCAAGCUCAGCGGGUGCUGCGCGACCGCCGACGCGCCUACUCUGAUUUCAUGACCCGCACGCCACUUGGCCGUGUGCUGGCGGACCAGAUGCCGGCGGUAGAGAGCAUGUCCACUGCACCCGCCACCGCCUUUGCUGUUUGCCAGACAUCUUCGUCUUUAGACACACGAGCCACGGGCACCUCCGUUUCUCUCGCGACAGGAGGAGAGCGGCCGUCACCAACGGAAACUGGGCUGGCGCACACGAAACUGGAGCUAACCAUGUACGAGGCGCUCGCGCCUUUGCUCUCCCGUCGAACAGCCAUAAUGACACGGCGAGUGCUGGAGCUGGCACCGCAGUUGGCGCCUGCAGCGCCUGAAGCCGCGCGUGGCGAGCAGGCAAGCACAACCUUCACUCUUCCUCCUCCUUUCCCUUGCCAGAGGCCGUUUGUCACCCUGGAAGAGGCCAAGGAAGCCCUGCUGCCAUUUCUGCUGGUGCUGGUGCAGCUCCGUCAUUGGCAAGCGUGCCUGGCAUCGCUGUCCGCGACCCUCUCCUCAGAGGCCGCUGCUCGCAGCGAGAGUGCCACCACCGCCUCGGAUCGACUCGUAAAGGCCCUGCAACAGCUCAGCCACGUUCUCGUCGCCAUAACCUGCGCGACAGAGUUGCAGACGGCAACGAUGCGCAGCCACCUUGACCUUCUCGGUGGCGAAGUCACCGCUUGUGUUGCUACGACACUGCAGUUUCUCCGCCGCCUCACACGCUCAUGUGGGACGGAGGAGUUCUCGCUUCUGCUAGGCAGGGUUCCUGCGGCAUCCGCGUCGGCGGCGGAGUCGAUACCGCAAGAAAGCGAGGAUGCGAUCGGAGGCGGUGACAGGCGAGACGGCACGAGCACGCCGCACCCUGUGUCUGUGGAGGUGGUGGAGAUACAAGCCUGUCGCCUGCUCUCUCUUUUCCUUUACUGGUUACACGUGGUACACGACAUCUCGACUCCUUCCCUGGCCAUCGAGGAGCUUUUCCUCACCUCUUCCACAGCUCGGUUUAACGCAUAUGCUGCGACGGUGGCAACCGCCAAGGGAGCAACCGCGGGCACUGCAGAGGCGGAGGCGGAGGAGAUGCACCGAUGCACCGGCCUAAGCAAUGCGGCCCUCCUCCGUCAGACCGGCCCCGCGCCCUCUUGUGUUCCGCUCGCAAUGCUGUCGCUGUCGGCGAGCGACGCGAGCGGUGGCAGUGGGGGAGACAAGUCCCCAAGCGAGGGUUCCUCGCCUCUCCUCGCAUCUUCCAGCAACGUCGCAGGCUCCUUGACUGCUCUUCUUCUGUUCGCGUCAAAGGGUGUCGUCGAACAUGCGCAGGCGAACAGUGAAGCGCAUACGGUGAUGGUCGAGGGGCUGGCAGUUGAGGAGGACUCCGAUCUCGGCCUCAUCUUAGUACUGACUUCCCGCCUGCUGCGCUACAUGUUUGCUGCUGGUGCCUCACCGCACUUGGUGCAGGUGACAAAAGCGGCUGGCCCGCUGCAGAGCGCCCUUAGCCUCCUCCUCGUUCGCUUCAUCGCUGGUGACCGGAACCCGUCGGCUCUACGCGCUGUGGCGGAGAAGACAGAGGCAUCGCAGUCCGCGAGCCUUCGAAGCUGCGGCGCGCAGCCGCAUCUCGACGCGGCCGCGGACUUCAGCUUCCCAAGAAGAAGCUCGCUUGCCUCCACGUCGCAGCCACCGUCACCUGCGCGUAGCCGCUGCAGCAGCAGAGCUUCGGUUCCUUCAGAGCAAUCGGGGCGUCUGACGCGGCAGCUGCGUCUACUUGGGCAGCUUUCGUGCGGCCUCGUGCUGCUGACGACGCUUUUGCAGCAGAAUGCGAUGAUCGUUUUGGACAUCAUGGACCACUCCUUCUUCUUCGACGCACUUGUGACGGUGCUACAGGUGGUGGGCUCUCGUUUCACGGAGCCCUCACGGCAGGGAGCGAUGGCGGCGAGGGUCUUGGAUGCCGCCGGCCGGCGAGACUCAGAUGCGUGGGCGGACUGGGUGCGUGGUGUCGAGACCGUCGCGGCGCAGGGGACGGCUGCGGAGGACAUCUCAGUCCUCCUUAACCACGCGCUCGGGUGCCCGUUGCAGUUUUCCUUGACGCUGCUCUCGAGCGAUCCUUAUGUGGAUGAGUUUCUGCAUGCCUACCUUGGCUUGCUAGCUGCAUGUCGUGUUGUACGCUCGACUCCCUUGGCAUUUAUUGCACCACCGCCGCGAGGCAUGCUACUAGGCAGCAAUGGCGCCAUCACCGCGUCGGCGCGCGAAAGUCGUGCGCUUGACACCCUCGACCAACUAGAGCUCACCCUCUUAAAGACGUUCUUAACCGCGUACGACACGUCGACCGAGGACGCCGCUCCUGCCGCCGCCGCCGCCGCCAUGGAGCUCUCCAUCACGCUCCCACCGUGUCCAGAGCAGCACUCCGUCGACUCAGAAGCCACUGAUGCGCUCCCACCCAGCGGUGACAUGAACGCCACGGGCUCCUUGACGUUUCCCUUGGCGUCCUGCAUCUACAACCUUCUUCUCAAGCACACGCUGUGGUGCCUUGGCGAGCAAGAACGACGCCGCGGCCAGCCCCUACCGCCGCCCCCACCACCUUUAACGCCACCUCAGGCGCCAGUGCCGCCGCAGCAGCACCAUCUCGCGCUUCCGCUGCUUCAGUCGUCCGUGUCGUCGGCCGUACUGCGCCUGUCCAUCGACAACCCUGCCUCCACGGCGACGGACACGCCGCGGCUGGUAGCGCAGCCACCGCCCACGCAUCCGCCCGUCUCCCCAACAUUAUCACCGUCGACCAUCACGCCCGCCAACCUGCAGCAAAGCGCUGCAACCACGCUUCCUGGCCACAGCAGUCUUGCCGCUAUCACAGGCACCGGCAGCAGCGACUAUGAUCCGUUCGUUCUGUUUUUGGUGCGCCACGGCCUCUUCCGCAUUUUGCUCCACGACGAGCACUUUGCAUCUGCCUUCGCCUUGGCCGAGUCGACGGCCGCCGUCAACGCCGCCGACUCUCCUCGGGGGCGCAGCUGCGAUGAAGAGGCGGCAGACAAGCCGACCACGACUCGGCAACGCUCCUACCUUGUCCUGUACCUUCUCUCGCACUUCCUGCAGCUGCGUCCGUGUGACGCUGGCUCGAGCGACGGUGAACAGAUCGCACAGCCCGCCGGUGCGCAGGAGGGAGGCGGCGCUUCUGCGGAUCCGAAUGUUUCAUGCCGUAGCGCUUGCAGCCGUAGUAGCAGCAACGCGGCGCUCUCCGCUGAUGAGCAGCAGCUGGCACAGGAAACGGCGGAGGCGUUGAUGACGGUCUUGCGGGUAUCCUCGGUGUCAGUUUCACCUCCCUGCUGCGCGGUUGUGCGCUGUCGGCGUCGCCGCUGGUGCAACUGCCUUCUCGCACUCUUAAGUGCUGCAACAGCGGCGCCUGGCGCGGCUGCCUUUGCUCCCAUCCAUGUGAGAGAGGAGCUCCGCGCAGGCAUCGAGAUCGACGCACCAAGCGCGGCGGACGCGAAGACGACACCUGCCGCGGCGGCAGCGGUGUGUGAGGCGCUUGUUCGGGCUGGAGGAGCCGAGUAUCUUCUGCGCGCUGCCGCGGUCGCGGCUGAUGCGGGCGCUGCAGGCCAGCCCGCCAACACGGUCUCUUGUGCCUGGGCGAUGCAGGCGGCACGAAGUCUCGUCAAGAACUCGACAGCUUCUGUUCACAUCUCAACGAACUGCGUAGAGUCGCUGCUGCUGCCGCUGCUGUGGCAUCCUUCGCUGCGCUCGGAUGGGCAGCGGCUGCUGGAGACCCUCUUGUGUCAACCGCUUGUCGGCUCGGGCAUGGCCGUGGACACCAAUGUGGACAUGAGAGAGCUGUCAUCGUCGAUGGUGUCGUCCACCGGGAAAGUCGGCAGCGACAGCGCUGCAGCCGAUAUGCACGCAGUGCCGCGGCACUGCCGGAAGCUCUGCGAGGGUGUCUGGCGAACGCUAUGCGAAUGCGCGAACGGCUCUGCAGUGGGGGGCAGUGGCGUUGAGAUGCCGGACGCCAUCACAUCUGGGACGCGCGCCGUUUCCACGACGAACGCCGAUAAAGGGGGGCGCCAGGCCGUUCUGCGUGCUGUGCUAGGAGCACUGGGGACUGCGUUUAGAAAACUGAGUGGACAGCGAUUCUCUGACGCCGGGGAGCACUCCGGCGAGUUACUGCCGCUUCGCACGUUGCAGAGGGCCCUGUUCGAGGCGAGCAAAGACGAUGGGCAGCACAUAUACGAAUUUCUGCUGCAUGAACUCGCCCAGUUGUGGAAAGCGGUGGAUAACCCUGGCACAUCAUCGCGACCGCCUCCGCUGAACACAGCCGAUGUAGCGGAGGUGGCGCUUUCGCCUCCUUUUCCAGUUCCCUUUCUUAUCGCGGCAUCCGACGCGCCCAGCGCGCCAGACACCUCGCCAGCGGAGGCUACGGAGGCAUCAGCAGACGCUGUCGCCACCUGUCGUGCCGGACGCGAGAUGGUGCGGUUGAUUGUCAUCGCGCUCGUCGGCAUGACGCUGGCAAACCCAUCGCAGCGCGAGGUUCUGUACCGCGCCACCGUCGACGAAGAGGCGCUGGUGAGGUGCAUCGUUAACGCGUGGGGCACGACAGGUGGCAGCGGGGCGCUCCCAUUUUCCCGCUCGAUGAGCGAAGGCGACGCGUGUGGAAUGGUGCGGGUGUGCUCGUACCUCAUUUACGAAUCGGUGGACGCCGUGGAUGCCUUCUUCGAUGAAGACGGUGAAAGCGGGUCACAGGACACGGCGCCGCGGCGCCGCGGCUGCAGCCAUGAUGCGUCAUGGGCGUGGUCUCUGCAGAAUACGAUGCUGUUGGCUGCCGUGCUGCGCUGCUUCACUCGUCUGGGGUCGUUGACGGAUGAUCAGCAGGCGGCGCUGCGCAAGUUGCUGGUCUCCCUCACCCGCACGGUCGAGAGCUGCUACGUCAGUCUCUACCUGGCCGCCAGCUCAGUCGUGCACGAUGUGCUGGCGCAGCUGCUACCGGUCGUUGCACUUCUGCCAAAGCCUGCAACACUGCGGUUUUCCUCCUCUGCCGAAACGGAGGCCGCGCUUCCACGGCUCGACGUCGUGCUCGUUCGCCUUCUUGCUGUGCUUACCCACUGUCACGUCGACGCGCGGCAGCUGAAGCAGCUGCUGCUGCUGGUGAUUCACUCAAGGCACCAGCGCGACCGCAGAGCGCUCGUGCCGCUGGUUUUGCAGGUGUUGAGCGAGGCUGUCCAGCCGCCUCUUAAUAUGACACUUUUGCACGCGGCCCGCCGCGACCCACAACACUUCGUGAGCCUCCACCGCGGGCGCGGCCCUGCUGGGUUCUGUGCUGCGCUGCCGGACUUCCCUCUUGAGGGCUAUUCGGCAUCCCUCAACGUGCGGUGGGAGGGCGAUGUGACCUCGCGGAAUGCGGCAGGGCAGGCUGCCGGCGGAGACACGACGCUGCGCCAAUACGACGACUGUGCCUGCAUCUUCUCCCUCCGUACCGCCGAUCGCGCGACGCUGCUGGCUUUCAUGGUGGAGCGACGCACGGGGCGCCUCUUUGUGCAGUAUCGUAAUCUGCAGCAGCAGGAGCUUCGCGUGUACCUGGCGGCGUCGCUGCUGCCGCGAGAGUGGACACAUCUGUGCGUGUCUCAUCGAGCGGCGGCUUUUUUGACGGCAACAGCCGGCGGCCAGCUCACGCUGUUUGUGAACGGUGCCGAGGCGGCAGUGAUUCCGCAGGUGACCUACCCCCUCAUGUCGCGCGGGUACCUCUACGUGGGCUGCCUCGGACACGAGGUGGACAGGCUCAGUGUGGCGCACGCUUUUUACGGCCAGGUGUCCACAGCGUAUUUCUUUCCCUACGUGCUGCCUGAGCGCGAACGCGAGGUUUUGCAGACCACAGUGGGUGUGGCGGACACCGCGGCGUGGAUGUUGUCGUCGUCAACUGCCACAAUUCCGCCGCUGCGCCCCGGCUCAUUCGCACCGGGGCGUCGUCCCGGCUCAUCCGCGUCGGAGAGCGCCGCCGACGCGGACGGCGCCGAGCAGUGGCUGGCUGGCCGGGCCGUCGUCUGCGUCGACACGCGGCUGAGUGACCGGGGUCAUCUCUACAAUCUAUCUGCCGUGUUGCGUGGCCGCACGGGCCGUGAAAGCCGCUUGUUGACUCUGGAAGGGUCCCUCGUAUGCAGUACGCAGCGUCUAAUAGACUCGAUGGGGGCGCUGGGGGCGCUACCAAGCGUGCUGAUGCCACUCUGCGUCUUGCUGGUGAAUCCAAAUCUACCCAUUUCCUCUCGCAGCUUGGCUGCUGCGGCGCCGAUUGGCAGCCUUGCCCACAGAGAGCCAGGCCUACCACCCUUCUCGUCGCUCGGCGCGGCCGCCGUCAGUGCUAGCAGAGCAAGUGACACGAUCAAUGCCUCCGUGCUGCGAGUGCUGGACUUGGUGCCGCCGCUGGCUUCUGCAGAGGCGAUUCGCACCGAAAUAGCCGAGGCACGUUUUUUCGUUUUCCUUGGCCAGGUAUUGCAGCUACUAGGCCCCUCGUUGCAGGUGGUGGUGCCGGCCGCUUUCGUGCAGCUACUCGAGGCUCUCGCCCCGUUCCCGCGACUCUUCGAGGACGCCUUGACAAACUUGUUUCUCUCUGCCGACGUGAUCCGGGCUGCCCCGCGCGCGGUGCAGUUGACCUGGGUGAAAGUGCAGCGCUUUUUUCUGAGUGCACACCCUGACGCGUUGCCCUGCCUGCGCACCCUAGGCACAUCCAUGUUUGUCGCGGCGGAGCUGCUGCGCGUGACGGCAGAGGAGGCGAGUGAGGAAGAGUUGGCGCAGGAAGACACCCUGGUGCUGCCCCAAACACAGGAUGUCGUGACGCACCCGUUACUCUCACCCACCUCGUCCACCUCACGCCCCCUCUCGGCCGUUGCUGGCGAUGUCUCAAGGGCGUCCUCGUCCGCCACGACCUCCCCCUUCUUGCCUUCUUCAACGCCACCGCCACCGCCGCCUUCGUGCUCGCUGCAGGACCUGGAGAACCAGUGGAUGGCCUACUUCGAGGCACUCGCCGUUGCUCCCGUCACCCUUGGUGAUGCGGAAGCUCUGCAGUACUUUGUCGGGAAUUUGCACUUGAUGUGCCCCAAGGCUUCGGUUCAGUUGCGCCUCCUGCGUCGCGUGCGUCAGCUUCUCGUGACGAGCAACACGCCGUAUCUGGUCCAGCUACUGGGGCGCAGGAACUACGUUGUAAACCUGAUGCCAUACCUCACCUCCGCGUCCUCCGAGGCAGUGCGGCUUGAGGCGCUCCUGCAGCUUCUCUUCAUGGUUUUCCGCUCGAAGCGCACGCAGGAGCUGAUGAACCCGGUGCUGUUGGCGAGCAAGGACACAGUCGUGCACGUCGUCGAGGAGGUGUCGCUGUCGUGGUUAAAGGAUGUGCUGCAGCGGUUUCCAGUGAACCUGCCGGUGUACCUGGCGCUGCGCUGCGGCUUAGUGGAGCGCUUCGACGUGCUGGCCCUUCCUACCCAGUACGUGCCCCUGGAUGAGUCGCACGCGAUCCGGUUUGCGGCGGUGCUUCUGCCACUGCUGAUGCUGAUGAAGCGCAGCACCGACACGAAGCUCAAGGGAUACGUGCUAACGGACAUGGCGGUGCUGCUCAAGAGCGACGCGCAGGCGUGGCGACGCGUGAUUACGGUUCGCGGUUGGUACGUCUCAGUGGUUGGCCUCUUCGCGUCCUCGUGCGCGUCGUCGCCCGUGCCUGCGCCCUCCUCGCUUCAGGAAGCCCGCGCAUGCCAGGAGUCAAGUGUGCCAGGUGCAGUGAGCUCCCCGACGAUCCCUACAGACUCUGCCGCGAGGGAACGAGUGCAGACAGAGGGGUCUGGGCUCGCCUUUGCUACCAUCUCCAUGAUUCUUUCCUACACCAUCUACCAGGUGCUGUUGCACGAGACGUACGGGGCGACGGAGCUGGAGCUUGUGGUGGCGUACCUGCGGGAGCAACGCCUGCAUCGCCUCCUGCAUCAGGUACUGUGUAGGGUUGCUGACCGCUACCGUAGCCGCCUGAUGGCGCCGUGGCGUGGGGAGCGGCGAGGCGGCACGGGCGACCGCGAAGGUCCGGGCGCCCCACGGCCGUCGAAUGGCUGCGCGUUCUUAGGGCUUGGCAGCGCCACCGCGGUUGUGAACCUGUGCCAUUUCCUUCGCGUGGUUGAGGUUGUUCUCUUCUACGCCGGUUUGGCUCCGAGGCGCAAGGAGGCAAUAAUGGCCCCUGUGAAGCCCGCCGUGUCGCCGUUCACGCCAGCCGGGGCUGCGUCGGGUGGGGAGGAAUUCGGCACGCACCUACCUGUUCGUGUCGGGUACUCGGAGUGGGAGCAGCUGACGCUGGUGCGGUCGGCAGAUGACCCGCCCGGCGGCGUCGCGGAAAGUGACGUGUACUAUGCCGGGGAGGUGGACGACCCCCACGGCAACGUGAGGCGCGCUGUUCUCCGUAGCCCGGACGACCGAUGGCUGCACCUUCCGCUCGCCGUCAAGUGCGCGGAGCUGUUGUGCAGCCACAGUGCCUUGCUGCAUCUCGGCAGCAACGGCAACACCACUAGCCUCUCUGUUGGUGGUGCCGGCUCGGUCGUUGGGUCGGGCAGCGCCGGGACUGGCGGGCCAGGGGAUCUCUUGUGGUCGGUGGUGCUUGGCGCGUCCGCCGGCACGGGUGUCAGCAGCAGUCCCACGAGCCCCAAGGCCGGUGGGGUAGGUGGGGUCGGGCUCGGCGCGGGUGGCGGGGGCGCCACUCCAGUGGUACUUAGAGGCGGUAUGCUUCGCCUGUUUGGCAGGCUCUUCAAAGUGCUUUGCCAAAUGACACUGCGCUCCGGCACGGCCCUGAGCAGCGUGGUGGAGCUCACGGACGCGUUUGUGCACCGCGUAGAUCGGGGACAGCGCGGCAGCGGCUUUCUGUUGCUCAAGCGCGCUGUGAAUGCCGAGGACGCGCGCGAGCAUUCCCCAAUCGCGAUUACGAUGACGCUCAUUUACUGUGUGCACAACCUGCUCCUGCGGCGCCUCCACGCUGCCGAGUACGGCAACACUUCAACGCACUUCAACGCCAACGCCGCCCUUGUGGAUCGCCUCAAAUCGCUCGUGGUGAUGUUUCGGUACUCCUUCGAGCAGCUGUCGGCGUUUGCGUCCUCUCCGAGAGGCAGACGCGGCGCUCACUCAUCUGUCUUUCGCCAGCCCUCUCUUCUGGCGGCGGCGUCUUGGCUCACACGUGGUGACCGCGAGGAUUCUGGUGGGGACCGCAGCAGCGGCCGCAACAGCACCGCAAGCCGUGCGCGGUCCAACUCGACUUACCUCGAUGACCUCACAGGCGAAACGCUCACAGCUGGCGUGCCUACACUGCAGUGGCUCUGCGACCACCGAGCCAACCCACGCCGCACCGUCGAGGCUUUCGCGGAGGUGGCGUCCCGUGUGGACUACAACGCCUUUGCGGAGCGGUGCCUCCUCGCUGUCGAGCGGGAGCAAUCGACCGACAAGGCUCUAGCCGCCAAGCUCUGGUCAGAGCAGCGGGCGUCGCUCCGUCGGCUGCAGGAGCUCUUCGCGGAGAACAGCAUGUCUCGUAGGCUCGUCCAUGACAAAAUCCAAACACUCAUGGCCGCCUUCAACUCCCAAAAAACGACGGGCGCCGCUGGCGAGACGGACAGCGACGCUGGCGCCGCGGGCCUUGAAGGGCAUAGCAGCACGCGCACCGACGGCUUCGCCACUGCAUCCUUCACGGGUCUCUUCUUGCCCUGUGCCGCGCGGCGGGCCACCGCCGCGGCGCGGGCCAACGCGUGGACGCGCUUCACUGUUGCGCUACGUGGCACCGUCUGGUGUGCUGACGCGGCCGGUCUGCACAACACCCUCAAGUAUGUGAAGCUCUCAUCGCAGGAGCAGCAGUUUCUGGUGCAUCGCAAGCUGGUCUACGACCGAGACGGUACAAACUACUGUGGGAGGGCGAUGACCUCGUACUCAGCUCCGAGUUCACCGGUUUGCGACGACUUGUCGUCUGUCAACGUGACCAGCUUCAGAGCCAUGCCCGCACUCCUGGAAGACGAGGGAGAGAGCGGUGGGGGUCUGGCUUUCGGCGGCAGCAUGAGCGCCAACACGAGCCGCGCCUCGUACCUCCGUCUCCGCGGAGGCGAAGGUGUGCUGUUGCAAGCGAUUGAUGACGACGACGCCGGGCUCGAGGAGGACAUGAUGAACUUCAGCCUCGACGGCAGGGGGGACGUGUCCACCGCGGCGGCGGCCUCGUUCAGCGAGUGCCCACUCCUGCGAGAGGAGGCUGCGCCGGUGUCGAAGGGCAUCGGCCCAGCCCCGACUUCUAAGGUCGACGACUUCUCUGCUGUCCCGUCGCUCCUAUCGGUUCCGUGCGAGGUGCCGUACAUGAUGCACUGCUGGAGCGGCAGCUUCACCGUGCGCGGCUCGGAGGUGAUUGUGCUCAUCGACGACGACAACAAGGCGUACAACCAAGUGGUGGCUGAGGAGGCGAGGGCGUACGUGCUACGCCCGCGCCCCUUCAGUUUCCAUCUCAGCCACAUCACGCAGAUCGCGCCGGCCCGCCGCUUCCGCAUGCGCCGUACCGCGCUCGAGAUUUGGACACGUGACCGGCGCAGCUGCUUUGUCGAUUUUGCCGACACCGCCACUAUGAACGCGGCGCUGCAGGCGGUGCGAUGUGGCGAGCGAAGCAGCUACAUGCUUACGGCGCCGUCGUUUCUGCGCGACGCGGCCGGCGCUGCCACCGCGGCGCUGCCAACUCUGCUUCACGAGGGCACCGGUGGCGUCCGCUGGCACAGCGCGUACGUGCUGCAGGAGAACCCGCGCCGAGAGCCGAUGCGCUUGCGGGCCACGGCGCUGUGGCGCAACCGCCUUUUGUCGAACUUCGACUACCUCCUCGUGCUGAACCUGUUGGCAGGGCGCACGUUGAACGACAUGACGCAGUAUCCCGUGUUUCCAUGGAUUCUCUCCGACUACACGAGUGAGACGCUUGACCUGACCAACCCGGAGACGUUCCGCGACUUGUCCAUGCCGAUGGGCGCCUGCGGCAACCGCGACCGCCGUGAGCUGGUGCGGCAACGCUACAUGGAAAUGCGCAGCCUUGGCGACGUCCCGUCUCACUACUUCACGCACUACAGCUCCCCCGCCAUCACGCUCUAUUUCCUCGUCCGGCUGCCACCCUUCACGACACUCGCGAUUCUCCUGCAGGGCGGCCAUUUCGACCACGCGGACCGCAUGUUUCACUCCAUGCAGGCCACCUUCAGGGCCGUCAUGACGAGCACCCAGGAUGUGCGGGAGCUGAUUCCAGAGCUCUACUACUUGCCAGAGCUGUGCAUCAAUGAGAACCACGUCGACUUUGGGCGGCGGCAGGACCGCACCUCGAUGGACGACCUGCAGCUUCCGCCGUGGGCGCACAACGACCCGUUCACGUUUGUCUACCGCAUGCGUGAGGCGCUGGAGAGCGCGCACGUGUCGGCCCACCUGCACAAGUGGAUCGACCUCAUCUUUGGGUACAAGCAGCGCGGCAAGGACGCAAUCGACGCGCUGAACGUGUUCAACUGGCACUCCUACGAGGAGCUUGACCGCAACCGGGAGGCCGGCUCCAUUGAUCAGCAGCUCCUCGUCGACUCGCUUGAUAACAUUGGCCAAACUCCGGUCCAGCUCUUCCGUCGCCCACACCAGCCGCGACUGCCGUUGGAGUGGGCCGAUCCGCUGCAGCUCCCAAUCCGAGUGAAGGUCAUGACACUGCGCUGGGGCUGCGCACGAGUGGCGCGGACGACGGUGUUGUCGACGGACAGAGUGCUGGUGGUGGCCGGAAGUGGUGCCGCGGCCUCGCUGCGCAUGCACCUGACCCCGAUUCGCCAACCUUCGGUCCUGCAGAUUGCGGCGGCGACUCCUCCUGCAGCGUCGACCGCCGCAGCCUCGCAGUUGCGCCGUGCGUCUGCCAGGGACGGCGUCGCCGCCUCCGCCCCAUCGCAGACCGAGAUGACUGCUACACACGCCUCUAGUCAUGUGAACGCUCCCGCGGCUGCAGUGCCAGGCCACCCGGCGACCCCUGUUGCGGUGACACCCGUCAUGAACCAUCACGCGCCACCCGCCAUGGAUAGCGGCAGCUUCGACGUCAGCGAGGAGUACGAGCGGCACCUUGCGCCCAUUCCAGCCGGUGUCAUUCCGAACAACUCGGCAUACGCGGACGGCUCCUGCACGGAGGCGAGCACCGCCUUGCUGUGCUACGACAGCGAAGUGUUCCUGGUGCUUGGCGGCCUCUUUGACAACUCUGUGGUGAUUCGCGCUCUCUCCGGUGCGGGUGGCGAUGCGCGACUGCGUGCGCACCGCGGGCGAGUCGUCUUUGUUGCAGGCAGCGAGGACAGCCGCUAUCUCGUGACAGGUGCCGAGGACACCACCUUCGCUGUGUGGUCCUGCCAGCUUCAACCGGCGCGGCAGCGGUUGGAGGUGACGAUGCUCUUCACGAUCUACAGCCACGAGGGCAUGCCGUCCGCGGUGGACGUGAGCAGCACGCUGGACGUCGUCGCCACCGCCUCUCUCAACGGCACCCUAAUGCUGCACUCUCUGAGCACCGGCGGGCUGGACCGCGUCAUUCGACACCCGUACGGUGCGCCCAUCCACCGCGUGCUGCUGCAAACGACGUGCUACGUGCCAAAUAUCGUGUUCCUUUCGCACCAAGAUGAGAAAGUGUACCAGUACAGCCUGAACGGUGCUGCGCUGCGCACUUUUUCGCCACCAGGGCGAGUGGCGACAUGGGCCACGACAGCGAGCCAGUGUCUUCUGCUCGCGUGCCAGCCCCUUGCCAGCGUGCGCGGCGGCAGCAGCGCUUCGGCGCCUGGCGGCGGUCCGCAAGAUGGCGAUCAGACAUCGUGCAUUUUGUACCUGCACUCCUUUUUCUUGGAGGUGCUGAAGACGGUACCGGUGCGAGCCGAGGACGUCGUGUCCAGCGUCUCGGCACAUCCAACCAACCCGCAGGUGGUGGUGGCGGGCACGGAGUCUGGGCAACUGUUGCUGCUGCGCUCCGUCCUGGUGUAACACGUGUGCCGAUGCAGACCCCCCUCCCCCCUCCGCUCCGCAUCCAUCGCUGUCAGGCGAAAGCGCGUGAUUGGGCGGUGCUCAUGAGGAGGCGACCGGGAAUGAGGGCGUGUGGGGGAAAGAGAGAACCAAGACGGCGAUCGGUGCAGCGACGUUGACGCGAUACUUCUCGCGGCAAUGCGCGCACGCACAGCUGCAUCCCCUCUCCCAAAGCAAGCGUGAACGGCUGAGAGACCCGCGAUUGGUAUGCCAUGGUGGCACCGCGCAGCACCAAGCGACAACAAACCUCCCGCAAAGCCGCCUACACGACAUUUUCGUUAUACCGGAUCGCUGGUGCCACCCUCGUGAAGGGGGGGGCGGGUGGACGCAAGGGAAGGAAAAGCGGUGUACGUGAGCGGCGCAAGCCUUGUGCAAGGCUGAUGCACCAAAAGCCAC